ensembl:misc_RNA
UUGACAGCCUGGGAAACUGAAGUCCUCUGUUUCUCCACAGAACAGUUAUAAGCACGGGCAGCAGUGCAGGUUUUCCCACGUGGUCCCGCCAAUGUGUCUCAACCUUCCACUGUUGGGACCACCUCUAGUGGUGGGAGUGUUCUUCAUUUACUCAGACCAUUCACUUCUUGAGCUCU